rnacentral:ncRNA from 1 species
AAAAGACUUAGUCCUAACCUUACCGUUGGUUUCUACUAAACCUACACAUGCAAGUAUCCGCAACCCGGUGUAAAUGCCCUCAGCCUCCUACUAGGACAAGAGGAGCCGGCAUCAGGCACGCCCCGCAGCCCACAACGCCUUGCUCAGCCACACCCCCACGGGUUUUCAGCAGUGACCAAUAUUAAGCUAUAAGUGUAAACUUGACUUAGUUAUAGUAGACCAGGGCUGGUUAAUCUUGUGCCAGCCACCGCGGUCACACAAGAAGCCCAAAUCAACCGUACACGGCGUAAAGAGUGGCCCAGACACUAUCCUCACCAACUAGGGUUAAAUUACAACCGAGCUGUCAUAAGCCCAUGAUGUACCCAAACCUUAUAUUAACAUAACCCUAGCACCAAAGAAUGACUGAUCCCCACGAAAGCCGGGGAACAAACUGGGAUUAGAUACCCCACUAUGCCCGGCCCUAAAUCCCGAUGCCCCCAUUACCUGAGCAUCCGCCCGGGAACUACGAGCACAAACGCUUAAAACCCUAAGGACUUGGCGGUGUCCCAAAACCCCCUAGAGGAGCCUGUUCUGUAAUCGAUAACCCACGCUACACCCAACCCCUCCUCGCCCCAGCAGCCUAUAUACCGCCGUCGCCAGCCCACCUCGACAUGAGAGCACGAUAGUGAGCACAAUAAUUUUUCCCCAUUAACAAGACAGGUCAAGGUAUAGCCUAUGGAGGGGAAGAAAUGGGCUACAUUCUCUAACCUAGAUCAUACGAAAGAGAGCCUGAAACGGCUCUCAGAAGGAGGAUUUAGCAGUAAAACAUGACAAUUAAGCCUGUUUUAAGCCGGCUCUGGGACACGUACAUACCGCCCGUCACCCUCUUCACAAGGCGGCCCCCCCCCGCCAUAACUAAUCUCCCGACCAGCUGAAGAUGAGGUAAGUCGUAACAAGGUAAGUGUACCGGAAGGUGCACUUAGCACCAA